UUAUUGUGAUUUUGGCUAUAUUCUUGGUAAUAACAGUAGGUUCUUGGUGUUGCUGUAGAAAGAUACCCGCGUGCUGCAUUUUGUAAGUGUUAAGUGUAUUCUGUGAGUGUGAACUGGGAAAAUGGGAGGAAGACAAAGUGGUGGUUUUUUAAAGAAAAGCCCUUUAGUAUGUGUUUUGAGUCAUUAGAAGGAUAUUGGAGGAUCUGCUGGUGGAAGUGUGAACAGGAAAACAUUGAUAAAAUAUUGUAAUCAAUGGUGGCCACUUUAAAAGCUGGAAUGUGGAGAAAAGUGGCCUUUUAAUGGAACUUUAAACUAUAAUACUUUGUUACAGUUAAUGUUGAUUUUGAGGAGGAGAGGAA